UACGUAGGGUGCAAGCGUUGUCCGGAAUUAUUGGGCGUAAAGAGCUCGUAGGCGGUCUGUCGCGUCGGCUGUGAAAACCCGAGGCUCAACCUCGGGCCUGCAGUCGAUACGGGCAAACUAGAGUACUGCAGGGGAGACUGGAAUUCCUGGUGUAGCGGUGAAAUGCGCAGAUAUCAGGAGGAACACCGGUGGCGAAGGCGGCUACCUGGACCGGAACUGACGCUGAGGCGCGAAAGCGUGGGGAGCAAACAGG
rnacentral:rRNA from 1 species